AGAAGGGAAAAUAUUCCCUACUCCACAACUUCUUCCCAACUCCGAUCCUUAAUCUUCAAUGGCUGAAUUCUCUACUCCAAAAAUCCAUUCCAAUUAAUCAAUUCCAUGAACCACCAACGCCAAAAUCCACUGGUGUUGUAACAACGUCAACCUCGACAAGUCCGAGCAAUCAUCACCCUACAUUCCGCCAUCAACGAUGAUUCCUUCUCCGUCAAUUCCUUGGAAUCCGUGCUCUGCAACGUCGACUUGCGUUCCAUUGGCGGGAAAUCAUUAUCUGAUCCUUUCAUAAGGCGUCUCAGUUUAUUUUACCUCCCAAAGAUCUACAGGCAAUUUUCUCUUUCUCCUGCGCCUUAAUUUUUACCCCCCAAAUUUCUAGGGUUUAUUUAGGAUUAUCGUCGUAGUUCGAAUAAUCUUUGAAAUACAGUCAGGCUUGUUAGUUUUUUGAAUUUUGUAACCUGAUUACUCAUUUCGAUUGUGUUUGUUGGAUUAAUUUUGUUUAAUUAUACAACCUGGUUCGUUUUUCCCCUCUUUGGCUCGGUGAAAUUUUGUUUCGGACUUUUUUCAAUUGAAGUAACAAUUCGUAUUUUUGCUCAGUUCAUAUUUGUAAUAACUCAAUCUGAUUCUUUUUAUUUAUCUCUAUGGCUGUGUGCAAUUUCUACUUGUGUCCCUCAAUGCAAUUACUGUAGCAUUCGCUUGUUUUAUGAAUUUUGUUAAAUCAUCAUCUAGAUUACUGGAUAAUCUUUGCGAUAGUUUUUUCCGGUUAUGGUUGGAAAAAUCAAUUUCUUUUCGUAAUUUAGUUUAGUGAGUUACAAUAGUGGUUCUUGUAAAUUAAUUUUUGGUACUUUUUUCAAACAAUAUUCUGUUCAACUCGAACUUGGAUGGUUCAGUUUAUAACAGAGCCUUGUAAUCCUCAAUUGUAACACAACUAGUAGUUUCCUCUAGUUCUAGGUUGAUUUGGUAAACAAUUUUGAUAGACAUAAUAGGAUAAAUAGAUAGUUUUUGAAUGUGAAUUGUUUAUCUGGUGUUGUGUGUGUGUGUGUUUGAUUGUUGUUAGGUUGUCUGCUAGUGUGUGUGUAAGAGAAGAGACAGUGUUGCCUGGCAUAUCAGGUACAGUGUAAGCAUGAUUUGUGGGUUAGGAAUUUUUCUUGAAUGAGACCUAAUAACAGUCAAAAACUCCGAGUUCUCCACCGUCCUCCACCCCUCUGAAGGUUCAUUGUCGUUUGAGCGACUGUCAUGUUCUUCGUAUUCUCAAGCAAUCCUUAUUUCACUCUACGCAGUUUUUGUUAGAUUCUUCUCGAAUUUCACUGGUAAGUUUUCCCCAUAUGAAUCACUUUUGUAAAAUUUCUAUAUGAAUUUAUUUCAAGAUUUGUUUUUUCGAGUAUAAAUUGCAAUAUUAAUAAUUGUUUGCACUUUGAAUUGAUCUCAAUCGAAUUUUGCUGAUAAUUUGUUGGUAGUUUUAUUUCAUUUUUCGAUUCCAAUGCCUCUUAAAUUUGUCUUUCGAUCUGAAUUUUUCUUUGUUAUAAAGUGAGAUUGGUAAUGAUAAAAACACAUUGUUUAAUCCCUCCCUAAAUAUUAUUGAGGUAAGAUUUAAAUUUGAAUUACUCUGGGAACUUAUUUUCGCUCAAAAUUUGUUUUGUUGGAAGUUAAAUUUGGGGUAAUAUGAGGAAUUUCUUUGUUAUAUACGAGUAACUGCCAGAUGUGGGUCUAAAUUAUUAUUGAUUCCAAUUUUAAUUUUCCCUAAAUUUCUCUCUCUUAGAGAAUUGUAAGUUUCAAUAAAUUUGAUUUCUUUUGAUUUUUCAAUGUGAAUUGCUAUCGUGUUUUUCUUCCAGAGGUCCAGCUGAUCUCAAUUUGUUUUCCAUAAGUUUCCAGCAAGUGAUAGUUGGUGCUGAUAAAAGGAAUCUCACAAUGCUCUACAGGGGAGCCAUUAUCUAGGCCUCUUUUAUCUAACGAGAGUUGCCCCGAUGCUCUACCAGCAGUUAAGUCCAUAGCUCCAAAUCACAGUGUACUGGUUCUUCUAAACUGUGCAAGCUGGUUUCUUGGUGGAAUGCUGAUAGCCAAAACAAGGAUUCUGCUGCAUUAUUACAUCAAGCAUAUUGGUUAGCCUUACAUCAAGCAGAUUGGUUACUUUGGCUACUACAUGGGAAGCUAGGCAUAUCGGACUACAACAAUGCUCUUAAGGGGGUGCCCAACUCUGUGCCACGAAAUGGAUGCCUAUCCACCUUGGCUGCUCGUACAACCUUACUCGAGUGUUUUACCUUGUAUUGUAGCCCCAGGAUCUGCAAUAGCGAAUGUGAAAGAGGAUGUCAGACAAAAUUUUGGUUAAUCUUCUAAAAUUCUCAAACUGAAACUGAAUGUGGAUGAGAAAUGACAGAUGAAUUUUGUCUUCAAGGAUAUUUAGAUGGUGUACUUGAUUCACUUUUUGGUUCGUUAGUUUUAGAAACCUGUAAAACAAUGUUAUUUAUUUAUCAUCCAAUACAAUUUUAUUCUUCCAAUUCA